rnacentral:rRNA from 1 species
UACGUAGGGGGCUAGCGUUGUCCGGAUUUAUUGGGCGUAAAGAGCGUGUAGGCGGCCAAUUAGGUCCGGUGUGAAAACUCGAGGCUUAACCUCGAGAUGUCAUCGGAAACCAUUUGGCUAGAGUCCGGAAGAGGAAAGUGGAAUUCCUGGUGUAGCGGUGAAAUGCGCAGAUAUCAGGAAGAACACCAAUGGCGAAAGCAGGUCUCUGGGCUGACACUGACGCUCAUGCACGAAAGCGUGGGGAGCAAACAGG